rnacentral:rRNA from 1 species
CCUACGGGAGGCUGCAGUGAGGAAUAUUGGUCAAUGGGCGCGAGCCUGAACCAGCCAAGUCGCGUGAGGGAAGACGGUCCUAUGGAUUGUAAACCUCUUUUGUCGGGGAGCAAAAGACGCCACGCGUGGCGUUCCGAGAGUACCCGAAGAAAAAGCAUCGGCUAAUUCCGUGCCAGCAGCCGCGGUAAUACGGAGGAUGCGAGCGUUAUCCGGAUUUAGUGGGUUAAAAGGGUGCGCAGGCGGAAGAUCAAGUCAGCGGUAAAAUUGAGGGGCUCAACCUCUUCGAGCCGUUGAAACUGGUUUUCUUGAGUGAGUGAGAAGUAUGCGGAAGGCGUGGUGUAGCGGUGAAAUGCAUAGAUAUCACGCAGAACUCCGAUUGCGAAGGCAGCAUACCGGCGCUCAACUGACGCUCAUGCACGAAAGUGUGGGUAUCGAACAGGAUUAGAUACCCCAGUAGUC